rnacentral:pre_miRNA from 1 species
UCUUAUGAAUAAGCAAAGAAAGUGGUCUCUUGAGAUGGAAUCUACUCCUGAUGAAGAUGCUGUAAA